rnacentral:tRNA from 3 species
GGGCGAUUAGCUCAGUUGGGAGAGCACCUGCCUUACAAGCAGAGGGUCACUGGUUCGAACCCGGUAUCGCCCACCA